ACCCCCAACGCCUCUCUCCGUCGGCAGAAUUCCUCGCACCUCACUCCCUGCUGCACACCUCGGGUAGCACUGCCUUCACCUGCCUCCCCCUCCCCCGAGCCACCGCCUACGGCGAACUCUUCCCGGCCGAGUUUGCCCUGGUCGACCUUCUUCGUGGCCGCCGGCAGCGUGAAUUGGGUCAUCGGCUUCUUUUGCCGUCGCGGCGGCCGCCGAGGCAGCCCGGCUUCUCCUCCGAGUGGUAUGCCGUGCGCGCAUUCGCCGACUACCAGUGCGUCCACCGCGACUGCUGCCUCCACCCAGCGUCCACCGCGAUUUCGUCCAGGAGGAACCAAGACAGGAACAGCCAUCGCUUUGGAUUCACACUGGCGGAAGACUGAGAUUUGGUCAUAGGACAGGCUCCUCUUCUAAGUUUGCAGUUCGUUUUUAGAUCUUUCUAUGUUGGUGGUGUUGCUGGGAGAGAGAACGAUCAUACUGAUGUGGAUAUAGAAUUUUCUGAAUCAUGGUGAAGCGUCACAGUGAGAGAUGUCUCCUCUUUCUUUGAGAUGGUAUGUUUGUCUUCGUUUCUGAAGUGAAGAUUCGUUAGUUAUUUGGGCUUUCUGUGAUCCUUCUUUGUGUUCACAAUUUGAUUUUGGGUUUCGUAUUGUUUAUAAAUUGGUUGAUGUUUAUAGGGUUCAGCUGGCAAAUUCUGUAGAGUAUAUCAGAAGCAUAACAUUGGCCUGAUUAUGAACAACUUGCAUAAUUUUGUUUAUCAUCAUUGGCUUACUUUCUGUGGAUCUUACCUGCCGCUGCCCGUUAUUCCCUCCCAAGGCAGAAUUAUGAAGAACAUUCAUAGAUUGUUAUUCUGCAACGAACUCAAUAAUGAGACAGGAAAUCGUUGAUUCUUUCAAUGUCAGUUAGCUGGAUGUGCUAAAAAAUUAUAUUUGUUCAGAUUUCAAAACUAUAGAUUCAGUUGAUAGACAUUCAAGAUAUGUUGGCUUCCCCUUUCCGUUUGGAAAUUAUGACAUCAAUGGCCUGUAGUAUUUGGUCCUGCAAUUGGCUAUUUGUCUACUGUUUACAAUUCAUAUGGACCCUCAAAGGAAGGAAUUUCAUCAAGGCAUAAACUGAUUAGGCUGCUGGUAUAUUCCUGUUUUCUUUUCUGCUAGAAAACAAAAUUCAUGCAUGACUGUAUAGCUUUGAGAGAAGAAGAAUAAGAACUUCCCUUUCAAAACUUUUAGUCUUCCGUAACCACAUAUUACUAUGCUUCAGUUAUUAAUUUUUUCUAUCAUAUAUAGAUAAAUUAGGAAGGGACCAUUUAGUUUGGGUUACAAGUGCUCCAUUAAGGAAUGUGCAUUAUUGCAAACUCUACAAGUCCGGGUAUCUGUUGUGCACGAAUUAAGGAAUACCAAUAAUCAUGGCUCUGUUUGUAUACGUACAAAUUCUCAUUCUUAUAAACCAUGGUUACAGCUUAGGUUAGUUUUUAUAGAAAUCUGUCAUCUCUACAUAUUUCUUCAGUUGAAGGCUUGGGACAUUAUUUAUGAAAAUUUUACGACUAUUUCUUCCGACUUUAGUUGUUCCACUAUGAAAUUGUCUGACACUCUCAUAUCAGUCGGAUGAACUGCGUUUUGUUAAUCUAAACUACCAGGUUGGUGCUAGGAUCGACGAAGGCGACAUAGCAUCCCCAUGGCUUCUACUUCAGGACAAAAAUUGCUUUACUGCUGGUUGUCGUUGAUUAGUGCCAAACACUUUUCCCAAGUUGAUGAAUACUGCCGAUCUAUUAAAUCAUGUGCAAAUAUUUGGCUACUAUCCUUAGAAUGGGCAACAUACAUGUCUUUGACAUUCAAAUCAAGCAAACUGAUAUUUCAAUUCUUCACAAGUUGGUUUAUAUUCAGGUUAGUUGGAGAUAUUUGCAACCUUUGCACUAAGUUCCUGUUCUGAUUUUUUUCUAAAACACAAAAUGGUGAUGCUAUUUGUAAUCACUUUUUGCUGUAUAUCUUUUACAUUUUUAUAGACACAUAACCGUUGGCUGCAUGAUUACUUAAUACAGAUUCGCUAAAUAUAUAGACUUUUUUAUUGAUACCUUACAUAUAUACAAUUUUUUGGAUAUUUAUUUAAUUAUAUCUGGUGUCUAAUCAUCUUCUUCACAUGUCACUGUAUAGUAAUAUUACCAUGGAACCCCCACGUGUUCUUUUUAUAACUGAUUUUGUGUUGUGAGUAUUAUUACAAUGGAAUCACGAGAUAUGUAGUACGAAUUAUUUGGAUAAGCAUUUUGCUGGACAUACAGGGAAGAAAAAUAGUCGGCCUUCUUCGAAAGUUCAGUGAGGACACAAACGUGUGUUGACCAGGUGUGCAACAAGCUGGGAGAGUUCUCAAAUAAGAUGGCUUAGCUAAUUUUGUGAAGAGGCUGCAUGCUAGAUAUCUAACUCAGGCAAGUUAUUGUCAGAUCGAUAAGAGGACACUUCACCACCUGCCAAAUCUACACAACUGAAUUGUCUUUGGCAUUUUCUAGAGUCUCAAAACUUGACCCAUUGAUCCUACAAUUGUAGCUCUUUACAUCUGCCGAAUUAUCUGGUCAAAUUCCAUGUAAAAGUCCGCAAAUAGAUUAUAUCAAAGGGAUUCGUGUAGCAUAGGCUUAUUCUCAUGUUUCUCUAAGAUAGCAGUAUUCCAGAGCAGCCAAAGUCCGUCCUACUAUUAGAGGUAGUUCCAUGGAAUUGUAUGUACCAAUCUAUGUAUGGUGCUCUUCGACAGUAAAGGAUAAUUAAACUUCACCUUCCAAGUUGAAAUCCAAAUAAUUCCACUAUCAAAUUCUUCCAGGUUACUUCUAAUUUCAGUUUCAAAUUUAGUUGACGCUCGGCGUGUCGACAUCGCACAACAGAACUGAUGAUCAAGCUUAGAACUGUCUUUCAGUUGGUCCUUCCGCUAGGUACAGAGAGAUAUUAGCUCAAAUACCAUCUUUUUCUUUCUUGCUCAGAUUAAAGCGUACUGAGAGUUAGGAUACGUUAGAUACAACAAAUAAGUUGGUUCAUGCGAUCAGUUCAGGUCCCGUAAGGUUUUUUUUUGGAUUGAGUUACCAGAUAGUGGGACUAUUGGGUUCAUGAAUAUUCCAUAAUCCAAGAUAAACAUUGCAGACAUUGUGUCAAAAGAGUGGUCGAAUGAGUAGCUGAGCUACUGAUGAUAAUUGUGGUUCAUGCAUGUAUAUGCAGAAUUCUAGACUCAUAUUGAUUGUAAAAAACGAUCAUGAAGAUGCACAUAUUAUUUUUAGUGCAUAUUCUUUCUUUUCUGUUCUAUUGAAUAGUCAUAAGAAGCAAUUAGGUCAAAAUGAACUACGCCUAAGUGAGGCGGUGUAUGCUCUGAAAUUUUCUUUUCUUUUCAUGCUGAUUUCAGCUGUAAGUCUUUGUCCACAAGUUGUUGCUGAUUUGGGCACAAUAAUUCAAGGAAGGACCAGAAGAGAUAAAAACUAUAUAGGUGAUGAGCGCAACAUAUUGAAUUAUGUCUGUCAUUUGAUGCCUCUGGACUAGCAGCGUAUGCUCCUCCUUUUGGUAAGUUUCUUGGGUUUGUUAUUAUUCUAAGGACUGGAAGGAUGCUUCAAUUUCUGUUAUCUUCCUUUGAAGUAAUAGGAAGACAAAAUGUUCAGGCCAUUCUCCUUGGUCUCCUUUUAGUUUCGAGAUGGUUGCGUUAUUCCUUGAUUUUUUGGUUGUACAAAUUUCAUAUGAAUUGGAUGAUGAUCCAUAGGUAUAUGUGAAUAUGUGAUGAGUUAAAAGACCUUUUCAAAAUU